rnacentral:rRNA from 1 species
UACAGAGGGUGCGAGCGUUAAUCGGAAUUACUGGGCGUAAAGCGUGCGUAGACGGCUAUCUAAGUCGGGUGUGAAAGCCCCGGGCUCAACCUGGGAAUUGCAUUCGAGACUGCAUUGCUGGAGUACGGAAGAGGAAGGCGGAAUUCCCGGUGUAGCGGUGAAAUGCGUAGAUAUCUGGAGGAAUACCGGUGGCGAAGGCGGCAUCCUGGACCGACAUUGACGCUGAACGGCGAAAGCUAGGGGAGCAAACGGG